CAGAAAUACCCAAGUGAUACAUUUAGGGAAAUACACAGCAAAAGAGGCAAAUAUUUCAGUUAAAAAUAUUUGUCGUGACUUGAAUUCUGGUGUUUCCAAUUGAAUUAAUCAUUGCGAAAGGUGAAAACAAAUACAAAAGAACUAUAGUUUGGUGCAUUUUAUACAAUAUAGUUAAUAUUGAAAUUCUAGAAUAAAGUUUUAUAUCAGUA